AACGAACGCUGGCGGCAUGCCUAACACAUGCAAGUCGAACGAUCCCUUCGGGGAUAGUGGCGCACGGGUGCGUAACGCGUGGGAACCUGCCCUUAGGUUCGGAAUAACUCAGAGAAAUUUGAGCUAAUACCGGAUAAUGUCUUCGGACCAAAGAUUUAUCGCCUUUGGAUGGGCCCGCGUUGGAUUAGCUAGUUGGUGGGGUAAAGGCCUACCAAGGCGACGAUCCAUAGCUGGUCUGAGAGGAUGAUCAGCCACACUGGGACUGAGACACGACCCAGACUCCUACGGGAGGCAGCAGUGGGGAAUAUUGGACAAUGGGCGAAAGCCUGAUCCAGCAAUGCCGCGUGAGUGAUGAAGGCCUUAGGGUUGUAAAGCUCUUUUACCCGGGAUGAUAAUGACAGUACCGGGAGAAUGAGCCCCGGCUAACUCCGUG
rnacentral:rRNA from 1 species